UUUGCUAAUUAACCCAUAAGCUAAUAAAAUGUAUUUUUAUUUUCAGAUGUUGCUGUAAAGCUCCUGAACUAUAAAUUCAUCAAGCUGUACCGACCCAAAGUCACAGGUGUCUACAAUAGACUCAUAUUAUGCCUUGGACUCCUAUCCUGUGCCGGCUUUCUCCUGGCUGGUUAUGUUAGGGGGAAGGAUUCAGAAACUGGUCACCUUACAGGAGCAUUUGUAGGAUUUGGCACGGGAUGCGUAUACAACAUCGUACAAUGUAUACUGUACGCCAUACUCCAGCCCAGCGGAAAAAGCCGAAGGAUGGUUUACUACCGGCUCUUUGCUUGUGUGAUCACUGUUAUCCCAAUGAUAGCACUUACAACAUCACUGACGACUUGUAGCAUACAGACGAGCUGCAAUCCACACUAUUUGGUAUGUUAUUUUACAUUUACAUUUUAUGUAAAACUUGUGUAUUAUAACAAAUAAUGUCUCCCUAUUGUACUGAGGUUGAUAAGGAGCCACCUUGGGUUCCAUGAUAUGUAUAAAGCACUUGGCAGCAGCCUGAUCCCUUAUAUGGUUAUAGAACUCCUACUGUCCUAGGAAAAGAAAAAAUGUCCCAUCACAGACCUGUUAUUGCUCGAUCUUGUAUGGCUGAACGCCACUUGUGCCAUAAAUAAAAACCCAUAUACGUCCCAACCCUUAAUAAUUAUUCUAAUAAAAUAAGUUUUUGUUUUUUUCCUUUUUUAAUAGAGAACGGCACUUGCAACAUUGGAGUGGGCAGGAAUGUUUGGGCUUCUCCUCUAUAUCCCAACAUAUUCCAUGGAAUUUCAGGUCAGUAAAAUAACUCAGAUAUUUCUGUGCUAUAUAUAUAUAUAUAAAUAUAUAAAUGUAUAGGGCUCAUCAUUACUUUUUACUUCUAUUCAGAACCUGACUCUAAAAUGGCCCAUAAGCCUAAAAGGCGACUGGAUAUGCAAGAGGGAAGGAUCCACUGAUGUAGAGUCCCCUGAGGAACCAACAACUGUCACCUGCAGGCACAUGAUAACACUGUUACCCUCUGAUCAGCUAUUAGGCUCAGUGAUACCUAUUCAUAUACAGGGAGCUUACAGGGAUUGGAUGUUCAAAUGAGAAGCCCAGUCCCCCGAGGAUCCACAAAAACACCUGAAAGAGUGAAAAACAAAAUC